rnacentral:sRNA from 1 species
CAUUCCUAACCAUGACGUAAUUCGCGA